rnacentral:rRNA from 1 species
GAAUCUUGGACAAUGGGGGCAACCCUGAUCCAGCGACGCCGCGUGGGUGAUGAAGGCCUUCGGGUUAUAAAGCCCUUUUGCCGGGGACGAUGAUGACGUUACCCGGCGACUAAGCACCGGCUAACUCCGUGCCAGCAGCCGCGGUAAGACGGAGGGUGCUAGCGUUGUUCGGAAUUACUGGGCGUAAAGGGCGCGUAGGCGGCUCUUUCAGUCGGAUGUGAAAGCCCGGGGCUCAACCCCGGAACGGCAUCCGAGACGGGAGGGCUCGAGACCGGGAGAGGAGGGUGGAAUAGCCAGUGUAGAGGUGAAAUUCGUAGAUAUUGGCUGGAACACCGGUGGCGAAAGCGGCUCUCUGGCCCGGUUCUGACGCUGAGGCGCGAAAGCGUGGGGAGCAAACAGG